CUCUCUUUCUGUUCCCCAGCUGACAGUCAGCUGAUCUGAGCGUGUGAUUGACAGUUUGAAAAGUUUGCCCUGUUCCACUCUUAUGCUAAGUAGACAAGCUGACGCACCAUCCCAUUGGCUGCGAGUCUCAGUCAAUUUCCCAUUUGAAGCUGACGUCGGGUCCAAUAUAAAAGAAGCGAAGCUUUUAAACAGAGAGCUGACGGUUCUCGUCCUCCAGCUAAAAUCUCAACACGCGUUGGGUUUGGCUCUUUUCACCCAGAAAACUAUUGCAAUCGCUUAUUAUCUGCUUCCUCUCUCUCUCUCCGUGCACCUUUCAUCCUUACAUUUCAGUCUCUCGCUCCCCCCACCUUCUUUCUCUACCCAACCAUUGCAAAGCAACAGCAGCCAAGAUGAAGCAGUGAGUGAGAGAGGGAGAGAGAGGGAGAGAGAGAAAGAGAGAGAGAGAAAACCAACAUUCAGACCCGCUGUCCAGAUUCCAUGAAGCAAAGACUUAUGAAAGAGAGAGAAAUCGUAUUCUACCGAUGCAUCUGUACUAUAACAGAUCGGAGCCGGAACGAGCAUAAAAAUUAUACUUAACAAAAAAAAGCUGGUGUGCAAGACUUCUAAAUCCUAGUUAAAAAAAAACAAGCAACCAAGAACAAAAUAACAAAGAAAUCAAGCUGGCUCUCUCUCCUUCAGCUCAGAGCAGUCUCAUCGCGGCGAUCGCAGGCGUUUGCCCCGGCGUUUGGAGGUCUGGUCGUACUAAUACCAUCUGCAGUAAAAGGAUGGCAUCCGAAUUGGCAAUCAACAGCGCCGACCUACCCAACAGUCCCCUUGCGAUGGAAUAUGUUAAUGACUUCGAUCUGAUGAAAUUCGAAGUCAAAAAGGAGCCGCUGGAGUCCGAAGGCAACCCGGGCAGCCACUGCAACCGCAUCGGGGGCUCGUUAUCUUCCACUCCAAUGAGUACCCCGUGCAGUUCGGUGCCCCCGUCUCCCAGCUUCAGCGCUCCAAGCCCCGGGGAGCAGAAGGCGGCGCACCUGGAAGACUUUUACUGGAUGACUAACUACCAGCAGCUAAACCCGGACGCUCUGAGCUUCACGCCGGAGGAUGCGGUGGAGGCCCUGAUUAACAGCGCCCAUCAGCAGAUGCAAGGAGGCUUCGACGGCUACCGGGGCCAGCAGCAACAACAGCAGCAGCAACAGCAGUAUGCAGCGGCGGGGGCCGGCGCCGGAGCUGGAGCGGGCAUGGCUGGCGAGCAGAUGGGUCCGCCCGGAACCGUGGUGGCUCACCACCAGCACCAACACCACCACCAUCACCACCACCAGGGGCACCAACACCCAGGGGGAGGAGUGGCCGCCGUUGGCACGGCCGGCACCGGGAGCACCGGCCCCGCCGCCGGCGGCAUCCACCAGCACCCGCACCUGCGGAACAGCGAGCGCUUCUCCGACGACCAGUUGGUCACCAUGUCGGUGAGGGAGCUGAACCGGCAACUCCGAGGUGUCAGCAAGGAGGAGGUUAUCCGGCUGAAACAAAAACGCCGGACCUUGAAGAACCGGGGCUACGCGCAGUCGUGCCGCUUCAAGCGGGUGCAGCAGCGGCACAUGUUGGAGAGCGAGAAAACUCAGCUGCAACAGCAGGUCGAACACUUAAAACAGGAGAUAACCCGACUGGUGCGAGAGAGGGACGCCUACAAGGAGAAGUACGAAAAACUUGUGUCCAGCGGCUUCAGAGAAACGGGAUCGUCUAGCGAUAACCCUUCCUCCCCGGAAUUCUUCAUGUGAGUUUGUGGGUUUGCUCUGCCCUAAUAACCCCCUCAAAAAAAACUUUAAAAAAAACUUUUUCAAAAAGUUUUUUUAAACACAAAAACCUGCCGUCUCUCUCCCUCACCCCAUCAUCUCAUGCAUUAUAUGCUUGCUAUAUUAUUUUUUGUUUGUUUUUUUAAUGAAAGGACCAUAUUAAUUAUAAGCCUGCAUGCUGGACAUGUAUGGAUUUAAUUAGCUAGUUGAAAGCGGAUUUUAAAAAAAAAUGAAUUAUGGCAUGGCAAGAGAUUAUACCGGUGACUUUUUUUUUGCUCUUUUUUUGACAUGGAAGCAAAAACGAAACAAAAUUGCACCGUUGGUCGUCAUCAACCCCCUCCUUCCAUGAAAAAAGAACGUUUGAAUCUGCAAGGGGGGAGUUGCGUUGACUUUAGUUCUGGGUCUUUGAAAACAUCAGACUUUCUCAUUAUGUUUUAUGCACUGAACUGUUUCUGCAAAAAAAAACAUUGACAAACUGGAUCUCUGUAUUACAAAGUCUGGGACUAUUACUGAGGAAAAAAAACAGUUAUUGCCAUAAUGUUUGGGACAUUAAAUAUAUAUAUAUAUAUAUAUAUAUAAAUACAUACAUACAUAUAUAUAAAGUGGUGUGUUGAUCCGGAGAACGGUAUAUAAGUUUAUUAAACAUGGGUUUAAACCCUUUCUCCGCGUUUUGGGUUAACUAUGUAACUCGCUAUGAAGUUGAAUGGUGUGUGUGUGUGUGUGUGUGUGUGUGUGUGUGUGUGUGUGUGUGUGUGUGCGUGUGUGUGAGAGAGAGAGAGAGAGAGUUCGAUAAUAUUUAAUUUAAUUGCAUUUGUAUGUAUCUGUUAAGAAAACGAGGAUUGUGUAUCCCCUAUCAGCUGUUGACGCGAAAUUAAGAAAUGGUGUGCAGAUUGUAGGUCUAUGUAGUUGAUGGGUGUUUCCCCUAAAAAAAAUGUGAAAUUCAUUGCACUAAGAUAUUACCAAGUUCAUCCUUUCGAAGAAAACCCUCAGUAUCCCUGGGCAAAAGUCCCCGCCUCGGACCACAUCUCGUCAGGCUCCUGCUCUCGAUCACCUCGCUUACACCUGGAUUGUCGCCUCUCUCCAGA